rnacentral:rRNA from 1 species
GGAAUAUUGCACAAUGGGCGAAAGCCUGAUGCAGCGACGCCGCGUGAGGGAUGACGGCCUUCGGGUUGUAAACCUCUUUCAGUAGGGAACAAGGCCAGCAUUUUUGUUGGUUGAGGGUACUUGCAGAAGAAGCGCCGGCUAACUACGUGCCAGCAGCCGCGGUAAUACGUAGGGCGCAAGCGUUAUCCGGAAUUAUUGGGCGUAAAGAGCUCGUAGGCGGUUUGUCGCGUCUGCCGUGAAAGUCCGGGGCUCAACUCCGGAUCUGCGGUGGGUACGGGCAGACUAGAGUGAUGUAGGGGAGACUGGAAUUCCUGGUGUAGCGGUGAAAUGCGCAGAUAUCAGGAGGAACACCGAUGGCGAAGGCAGGUCUCUGGGCAUUAACUGACGCUGAGGAGCGAAAGCAUGGGGAGCGAACAGGAUUAGAUACCCCUG